rnacentral:rRNA from 1 species
CCUACGGGAGGCAGCAGCUAAGAAUCUUCCGCAAUGGGGGAAACCCUGACGGAGCGACGCCGCGUGGGCGAAGAAGGCCGCAAGGUUGUAAAGCCCUUUUCUCGACGAAGAAUAAGGCGAGGAGUGGAACGCUUCGCUGAUGACGUUAGUCGAGGAAGAAGCCCCGGCCAAUUACGUGCCAGCAGCCGCGGUAACACGUAUGGGGCGAGCGUUGUUCGGAAUUACUGGGCGUAAAGGGUGCGCAGGCGGCUUGAGCAAGCCUGGUGUUAAAGACCCCGGCCUAACCGGGGGGCUGCGUUGGGAACUGCUGGG